rnacentral:rRNA from 1 species
GUAGGGAAUAUUGGGCAAUGGAUGCAAGUCUGACCCAGCCAUCCCGCGUGCCGGAAGAAGGCCCUCAGGGUUGUAAACGGCUUUUGACGGUGAAGAAUCGACAGGAUGCGUCCUGUUUUGACGGUAGCCGUUGAAUAAGCACCGGCUAACUCCGUGCCAGCAGCCGCGGUAAUACGGAGGGUGCGAGCGUUGUCCGGAUUUAUUGGGUUUAAAGGGUGCGUAGGCUGGAAGGUCAGUCAGCGGUGAAAAGCUGUCCCUUAACGAUAGUCUUGGCGCAGAUACUUCCUUUCUUGGAUGAGGAGGAGGCCACUGGAACGGAUGGUGUAGCGGUGAAAUGCAUAGAUAUCAUCCAGAACACCGAUUGCGAAGGCAGGUGGCUGUACCUUAAUCGACGCUGAUGCACGAAAGCAUGGGGAGCAAACAGGAUUAGAAACCCCGGUAGUCC